rnacentral:rRNA from 1 species
GUGCUUAACACAUGCAAGUCGAACGAACCUUCGGGUUAGUGGCGGACGGGUGAGUAACGCGUGAGAAUCUGCCCUCAGGAGGGGGAUAACAGCUGGAAACGGCUGCUAAUACCCCAUAUGCCGCGAGGUGAAAUGAAUUUCGCCUGAGGAUGAGCUCGCGUCUGAUUAGCUAGUUGGUGUAGGUAAUGGCUCACCAAGGCAUCGAUCAGUAGCUGGUCUGAGAGGAUGAUCAGCCACACUGGGACUGAGACACGGCCCAGACUCCUACGGGAGGCAGCAGUGGGGAAUUUUCCGCAAUGGGCGAAAGCCUGACGGAGCAACGCCGCGUGAGGGAUGAAGGCCUCUGGGCUGUAAACCUCUUUUAUCAAGGAAGAAGAUCUGACGGUACUUGAUGAAUAAGCCACGGCUAAU